rnacentral:rRNA from 1 species
GACGAACGCUGGCGGCGUGGAUUAGGCAUGCAAGUCGCGCGACGGAUAGCCUUCGGGCUAUUACGGAGCGGCGAACGGGUGAGUAACACGUGAACAAUCUGUCCCUACAUUCCGGAUAAUUGGCCGAAAGGCCUUGUAAUACGGGGGAGGACGGUGGUGGGGCAUCCUACUACCGGGGAAGGCGCAAGCCGUGCAGGGAGGAGUUCGCGGAUUAUCAGCUUGUUGGUGGGGUAAUGGCCUACCAAGGCGACGACGAUUAGCUGGUCUGAGAGGAUGGUCAGCCACAUUGGAACUGAGACACUGUCCAGACUCCUACGGGAGGCUGCAGUCGAGAAUCUUGGGCAAUGCACGAAAGUGUGACCCAGCGACGCCGCGUGGAGGAUGAAGGACCUUGGUU